rnacentral:lncRNA from 1 species
CAGACUGCCUCCUCAAAUCAAAUGGUUCGUACAUGAGACUUGAAAUUUUUCUAGAGCUUAUUCUAAAAUUGAGAAAGGAAAUGGGGAAUGGGGAAUGUGUCAAAGAGACAACAACCCGACCAUAGAAAAAACAACAGCAGAAGGUCACGAACAGGUCUUCAAUGUAGCGAGAAAUUCCCGCACCCGGAGGCGUCCUUCAGCUGGCCCCUAAACAAAUAUAUACUAGUUCAGUGAUAAUGAACGCCAUACUAAUUUCCAAAUAAUUUAUUGUACACAAGAAACUAAAAAUAAAAUAAUACAAAACUAACAAAGGCCAGAGGCUCCUGACUUGGAACAGGCGCAAAAAUGCGGC